rnacentral:rRNA from 1 species
CCUACGGGAGGCAGCAGUGGGGAAUCUUGCGCAAUGGGCGAAAGCCUGACGCAGCAACGCCGCGUGCGGGAAGAAGGCUUUCGGGCUGUAAACCGCUUUCAGCAGGAACGAAAAUGACGGUACCUGCAGAAGAAGGAGCGGCCAACUAUGUGCCAGCAGCCGCGGUGAUACAUAGGCUUCAAGCGUUGUCCGGAUUUAUUGGGCGUAAAGAGUUCGUAGGCGGUCAAGUAAGUCGGGUGUGAAAAUUCUGGGCUCAACCCAGAGACGCCACCCGAUACUGCUUAACUUGGGUUCGAUAGGGGAGUGGGGAAUUCCUAGUGUAGCGGUGAAAUGCGCAGAUAUUAGGAGGAACACCGGUGGCGAAGGCGCCACUCUGGAUCGAUACUGACGCUGAGGAACGAAAGCAUGGGUAGCAAACAGGAUUAGAUACCCUGGUAGUCCAUGCCGUAAACGGUGGGCACUAGGUGUGGGUUUCUAUUAACGAAAUCCGCGCCGUCGCUAACGCAUUAAGUGCCCCGCCUGGGGAGUACGGUCGCAGACUAAAACUCAAAUGAAUUGAACGG